UGGGGGAAUCUUCCGCAAUGGACGAAAGUCUGACGGAGCAACGCCGCGUGAGUGAUGAAGGCCUUCGGGUUGUAAAACUCUGUUGUCAGGGACGAAAGCACCGAUCUAUAAUACAUUUUGGUGUUGACGGUACCUGACGAGGAAGCCACGGCUAACUACGUGCCAGCAGCCGCGGUAAUACGUAGGUGGCAAGCGUUGUCCGGAAUUAUUGGGCGUAAAGAGCAUGUAGGCGGGCUUUUAAGUCCGACGUGAAAAUGCGGGGCUUAACCCCGUAUGGCGUUGGAUACUGGAAGUCUUGAGCGCAGGAGAGGAAAGGGAAUUCCCCAGCGUAGCGG
rnacentral:rRNA from 1 species